CAGAAGAUAGUUUAAUGGAGAACAUUAGCUUUGGGAGCUAANGGUAAAGGUUUAAG
rnacentral:tRNA from 1 species